AAUGGCUUUGCCUGGAUUUCAGCGGCUCAGGAGCGCCUGGAACUCGCAUUCCUGCAGAAAGUGGCUGCAUCGCUGAGCAUUUCAAUGAGAAAACCCUUCCUGGAGAAAAUGAACCAUGAAACGCUCCCAGAGCUCUGGGACAGAGCAGCAGAAGAGGAAGACAUUGGUAAAAACAUUCCUAAACAGGGAGAAAUCCCAUCCAGGCACUGCCUUUGCUGUUCCAUUGGAUGACACCCCCACCAGAUGGACAUCCAGUCCUUGGCAGGAGACAUGGAAAACCACUGGAAGGAUCUCAGGAUUCGGGAUAGAGAAUAUUUGUGCUGUCUCACUCCCCUCUCCCACCCUCAUCCCACAGGCUGACAUUUGCCUUCUGCAACCAGCUCCUUUCUGGUCCUGCAUCUCCUCUGCCUCCCUUCCAACCUGCAGCACAAUCCCUGGAAACUCAUUCCUUGUCGGUUUGCUCCUGCCCAGAUCAGCUCCAAUCUUUAGCUACUCAAGGAGAGAACAAAGUAGAAAUGAGGUUCUGGGGACAGCCUUUUGUCAGAGGUUUCAAUAUAUUUGGUGAGUUCCAGUUAAGUUGGAAUUUCCCCAUUUUCAUUCUCUCCACGUUUCCCAACCUCUGUGUCCCAGCUUUUUUUGAUGAUUAGUCUUUUUCACAUCCCUUCUGCUCCUUUCUCCUUCCUGGAAGGUUCUCACCUUAAUGCUCAGAUAUGUUUAGUCACCCUGCCACAGCUGGGAUUUUUUGCGUCAUAUUUUCCCUGUCAACCAACUUCCAGGCUUCCUCCUUAACUUUCAGGCCCUCAAGUUUUCCAGUAAGUUCCUAACAAACGUCCCAGAUUUCCCUGGUUUUGCCUUUGUGAAUUUGGGAGGAACUCAUGCUUAAUUCCUCCCACUGAAAUUCCAAAUUACUUUGACAUGGUCAGCCCCCACAGUUAUUUCCUAUGACCAACUCACUGGCUGUGACCAAGUUAACCAGGAUCUGGGAUUCUAAGGUGACAAGGAAUUUGUUGGAUUGGUUCCUACCCAAAGAGACCUCAUUGCACCUACAGGGGUUGUUGUCCUGAUCUUCCCUUCCCUCUGUGUGCCAGGAGUUCCCAGAUUUUCCUCCACCUUUGGCUGCAUCCCCAACUCUCCCCUGUUCCCCCCAUGUUGGGAAAUGCCACAGUUAUAAAUCAGUGUCCAUCACAUUCCCACUGGAAAUAUUCCCCUAGAUCUUCCCUCCUCCCCAUCCCUUCACCACCUCAUCUGCUGCCAUUAAGGGCUCUCCUCUGCCCUCAUAAGUAAUAAAAAUAUUCAUUAUAUGAUCUCAUCUGAGGGUUUUUUCCCCUUCCCUUGGAGGCAAUGGCAGGUUGCACAUUUGCUCUCAGUCCCUUUUCAGUGCUCCCACCCCCCUGAACAUCAGUCACCCUGAGGAAGAGCUCCUUCAACGGAGCGUUAUCAACGAGCCCCCAUCGAUGCUUCCCUCCUGAUUAGCACUAAUGAAUCUAAUAGCACGCUUUUAUCAGUCUCCCCUCACAUUAGAUAGUUUAUUGAUGUACUUUGCUGCCUAUUUUCUGUAAUGAAAACUAUGAAAUUGCAUAUCUAUCAUGUCUAAGCAGUGAUGUAACUCCGAGCCAGCUUUAAUUGUUGAUUUCUUUCAGCGAGAAGGUGAUUUUAGAAGCCAUAACUACAGAAAGCCCUGGAGUUAUUUCUUUACCCUAAUAAAUAACCUGCUUUCC